UCUGUCUUUUGCACGUGGGUCGGCGGUGGAGUAGACCAGCAGAGUUUGCCGGAGGUUCGGUGGAGUAUGGAGAAACGUGGUGGAUCAGCAACGGAUCAGCCUGGAUACAUCUUCACUAGUGCCUCUCUGAUGGCGAGAGACCGUCACUCCAUCCGACAUGAGGAAGUGCGAGGUUCCUCAUUGACCGCUUGUCUGGCACAGUGCUCAGCCGAAUGAAACCACGGUACCUCCGGACUUUGUCCGUUAUUUUUACCUGCAUGAAUUGGGAGAAAGUGAACCUGCACCAAAGAUCUACAUAUCUACCCACUGAAUUCAGAAUUGAGACACAAGAUGUAAGGCAUGGGGGUGCAUAUUCUUUCUGAUUUCAACCAGCAGCAGAAGGCUUGUUCACAGCUUUCAUCGUUUACAUGCUUGCCAGAGACCACGGGGGGAGGGGGGAUUUCACCACUGACGUGGCAUCCAAAGCUGCUUGGCCGAUGCAGUUCAGGAACAGUCAUUUUUCCAGAAAAAUUGCAACGAUUCGCGGAGGGACGGCAUGAGUUGUUUUUUUCCUGUCUUUAGAUUCAGCUGAACAUCUCUGCUCAUGCAGGUGUCCAGUUAAGAUGCAGAUGCUUCAAGGUAGCAGGAUGCAAGCGUCACCUUAAACACCCCGGAAAGCCCUUCUAAAUCUGCCGGACGCGCUGCAGACAAUGGGUGACUGGCAUCUUUGUUCAAGACGGAGCCUGAUCUCAAGAAUUGUCAGUCCUCGUACACGAUGGUGUUUGGAAGUCGCAACUGAAUUUAAGAAUUGUCUGAAAUGCUGUGGGCACAGGAGGAAAGUUCACAAAGAGGCAGUUUAACAUUCAGAAUCACUUCCUCGCGAGACACACUGCCCAUAGAAACAACACAUUUAAUGGGAAUUGAAGAAGAGUUUGAGUUGCGAUUCUUUGCAUUGAAACUUCCGUCGGUAAUCCAUCGCUAUGGAAUGAUUUUGAUAGAACGGUCCUAGAGAGAAGACAUUUGUAUUAAUCAAGACUUAUCUUGUUAGUCUAGUCUCGAGUAAUCGUCAAACUUUUUCCCGUGCUCCCCUCACGCUUGCAGAGACGCUUGAAUAUCUGAUCUCUGAUUGAUUCAUGCUGUUAUCUGUAACAUUGGCACACUUGAGUUAUGAUGACUGCUGCUUAAAUAAAAUGUAUACUGUUGUAGCUCAAGAAGGAA